rnacentral:rRNA from 1 species
CUUCGGGGCAGGGGAGACAGGUGGUGCAUGGUUGUCGUCAGCUCGUGUCGUGAGAUGUUGGGUUAAGUCCCGCAACGAGCGCAACCCUUAUCCUUAGUAGCCAGCAGUAAGAUGGGAACUCUAGGGAGACUGCCGGGGAUAACCCGGAGGAAGGUGGGGAUGACGUCAAAUCAUCAUGCCCCUUAUGACCAGGGCUACACACGUGCUACAAUGGCGUAAACAAAGGGAGGCGAGACCGCGAGGUAGAGCAAAUCCCAAAAAUAACGUCUCAGUUCGGAUUGUAGUCUGCAACUCGACUACAUGAAGCUGGAAUCGCUAGUAAUCGCAGAUCAGAAUGCUGCGGUGAAUACGUUCCCGGGUCUUG